GCUGCUGAAGGCUUACAUUUAGAGGGUGAGACACAAAUUGAACGGAAGAUUCUGCAAGAAGUUUGAAGUAGUAUAAAUGUGAUAAUUCUUCUUAGUUCUUUGGUAGUGUUGGGCGACUGUAUCUUGAACCGGAGAUUCCUUCUUUGACCUAGAAGAGUCUUUCUGCGCUGAUCCGUCUCUGAGUUGCUCACAGGAUGUUCUGCACUCGAUCUUUACUGCAAUCUAUGCAUUGUUAUUGUCGUCCAACAGUGGGUUUAAUAUGUUUUCUGAAUAAGGCUCUGAAGCUUGUCCAUCAAAAAAGUAUUGGUGUCACUCUCUUGCACAUUGUCCUCGAAAAUUAAUGGUGGAUUCAGCUGGACCAGCCAGGAAGUUUGUUUAUUUUCUGUAGGGGUUUUCUACGAGUUAUCAACUGAAGGCAUAUGACGUACAUUCAUCUAUGUGUUCUUCAUUCUUUUCUUAAAUAAGUCAAAAGAGCCGCAAUCCGUUGAAAUCUGUGCCUUGUGCUACAAGAAGAAUGGAUAAGU
rnacentral:lncRNA from 1 species